UUAUUAAAAAAAAAAAAACAGCCCAAAGGUACAACUAAGAAGAAGGAAAGAAAGAAGAAUCACACAACUUGUAUGCGUAGUGCCAAGGCACUUUGUGGGUUGCAAUCAUACAAUUUCCAUAGUGCAAAACGUCUCAAUUUGUUACCAUUUGGGCAGCCACAACUCACAAAGGAGGUACCCAAAUGGCCCUAUUACUCACUCAAAUCAACUCCUUCAGCAUAGCUCUCAUGUACAGUUUUCCCUAAACAUAUCUACCACAGCAUACGUCAAAAGCUCUAUUUUUCUAGCACUCUUUUGCACCACCUCCAUAUUCUAGUGCACAAGCAAAGGAUCCCACAAGGAGAAUGACAUGAAAAAGGAACAAAGACCCUACCAUAGGAUCAAGAAACAGCCACCCCAUCUCUGUUGCCAUUCAUCAAACAAAAUCUUGUAGGCUUUGGCUUGAAAUUCCUCCUCCUUUGAAGAUCAUGGCUUGAUGGCUUAAUGAUUUGGAGGAGAAAGGCCUUUACUGAAUUAGCCUUGGCCAUCACCUCCAACUGCCACUGUCUGGAUGAAGGACGAACUAGUGCUCCACUCGGGACCCUGUCGAAGUUCCUGUGCAGACUGCACCUGAACGAGCCCGGGUGUGUGGUGGGAGAACAGAGGCAUGGUCUGGUUGCAGGGUGGGGCUUUGAAUUGGGAGGUCCAGAGGCCAUGGGACAGUUUCACCACAAAUCUAUAUGAUAUGAUUCUGAUUUUGGUGUGGCAAACUGAUCAGAGGUUGAAGGUGGGUGUGCUUUUAUAGGUUUCUUGGGCUUGUAGUUAACUUCUUGACCUUUUCUUUUAAUCCCAUUUUCAACUUUAUCAAAUGCUUGCUUCUCUUUGAAUAUUAAGAUAUUUGAUUAUUAGGUUAGCUAGCAUCAUUACCAAUCUAGAAUCUACCUCUCCUGUGCAUACAACUUAGAGGGCAAGAUUGUCUUCAUCAAAGAAAAUGGUUGGCAGUUUUAAAGGAACAAGCUACAUGACAUAAUAUAAAAGCCUUUGGAAAUGAUGCUGCACUACAUCAAAGGAGACCACUUAACCCUCAUGCUUGUGAUAUGGGUGUGUGAUCAGUCGAUUGAAUUGAUUGAAUUGGCUCGGAUAUCAGACUUUUCCAGCUAGACUCUAGGGACAAUUGCGUGGUGCAAGGAUAUGGAAAAGAGGGUUUCCGUUGUAUCCCCUUAAUUGGUAUGUCACAUGGGUGUGUAGAGGCGUGUGAAGAGGGCAUGGCCCACAGGCACUCCGGCUAUAGACAGAUGGUUAAGCAUGAUAAGGACAUGUACCAACUCUCAAGACAUUUUGGGUAGAGGAAUCAUUGGAGUUUUACAGACAACAAGAUCAUGAGUCCAUGACUUCCCUCAAAUGAUUACCUGCGCUUAAGUCCAUGGUUGGGUGCUUCCAAUGUGUCCAUCCUGUGUCUGAUAAACCUAGUCUCUGCUGAUAUUGAUUGCUGGUGAAACUCACGUUAUGGCCUUAGGUGUCCCGUGAUUUGUAAAACCUAUCAUAUUUUAUUAUUUUACAGUCCAAAGUUGUUACAUCUUUGGCACUGCUGAUUGGAGUUUGAGGAUAAGGAGUUCCUAGGUGGAAGGCAGGUACUGAAGAGACCAGAUUUGACACCAUCAGCGGUGGUCAAGGAGCCCAUGAUUAUCACCUUGGAUCAUUCCGAAACUUAAGCAUGCCUACCUGUCCACACAUGAAAGGAUCUAGUCUCUUCAUAUGUUCGGGGAACUAAUUGUUGUUCAAAUAUAUUAUUCAAGAGGAGCUAGUUUUGGAAUUGGUAUUUUUGGUGAAGGCCUAGGUUGAGUCUAGGUUUUCGUAUCUGUAUUUAGAAACACCAAACCAAGGAAAAGAAAAAAUGUGACAACAACAAUAGAUUGAUUCAUUUACAAAGAUAAUAUGUGAGCAAAUAUUAUCAAUGAGUAUUUCUCCAUUGAAAGAUUGCAGGCCACCAAAAUAGACCGAGCAAGAUAGAGUGUUUAUCCUCUAAGGCCAUCAAGGAACAAAGAUCCAAUUAUGUUAUGAAGAUGCUAAAUUUGUUUCCGAAUGGUUUAGAAAGUAUGAUGUGAGCAAGGGGAGGGGAGGAGAAGGAUCAUUCUUUAAUUAUCUUUUUAUUGAAAAAUAUGAUGUGAAAGAUACAGAGAGGACUUAGAUUCUUUCAGAACAGAGGGACCUCAAUAGACAAUGAUUUGUCCUCCUUUUUUUUUUUUUUUAUUUACGGAGUUUUUUUUAUGGGUUUCUUGUGAAAUUUCUUACUUCUAUAAAUCUCUUCGUUUUGAUAAGAUUGGUAGCUUUAUAUUGCCUUAGGAUGAUAAUUUUUCACUGUAGCAAUCUUUUUUAUGCUUUAAACAAAUUUAUUUAAAUUUGAGGUUUUCCCUAACGACUUGAAGUUGUGUUUUAGUCCAAAGGAACUUCCUUUUCGCAAACUCCUAAACUUUUCAUGUUGAAUGGCGUUGAACCCAACAAUGGUCGGAUACAACAUUUUUCGAUGUCCACACACUCCAGCACAGGAUAUAGGUAAGUGGAGGAGAGUUCUUAUGUUGCUUAUUCUUCGGGUAGUUGUGUGCAAUCUUAGAAAGCUACCUUACCUUAAAUAGAACAUGGGACACUUACUAGAGGACACGCAUGCCCUCUAAGAUGAUCUAGCGUGGUUCAUUUUGAUUAUUUGUCGACCGCCUCAUGAAUAAAUCUGCAUAAUAAUCAUAAUGUCAUUUGUAAGGAAAGGGUUGACCAAACAACAACCUAGUAUGUGUAUUUUGAUUUAAUCUCUUUUUAUCCUUUUCGUUGAGUCACUACACUGAAUUAAUAAUCUGACUACCUUUAUUUGUAAAGAGUUCAUCCCUUGCCUAUUACUUGAGUGCUAAUUACUUUAAUUUGUAUGAAUUCACCCCCCAUGAAGAGGAUCUUUUUACCUAGUUACCUAAGGGGCAAAAUGAGAUUGUUAUAAGACAUCAACCUUGGAUUUAAUCUCUUCUCAUCUAUUUCAUUAUGGGAUUUUGUACUAACUUUAAUUGUCACAAGAGCGUAGUCUCACUACCCUUUAUUUGUAAGAGUUUGCCCCGACCAAGAGAAUCAACUCAAGUGGUUACUUAUGAGACAUGGUAGUAAAUCAGAAGACAUCGACUACGACUACCCUUUUUUGGAGGAGUUCCUUCUAAUGAAGUACUAAUGGCUCUGCUCGCCUCACUACCCAAGGACAAGACAAGCUAGUGGUUGAACUCGUCCACUAAUCAACCUGAACCAAGAUCCCCGUAGACCACCAUCCACAACACUCUAUGGGAGAUCAUCUGCCUGACAAGCAUUCCACUUGGUGAGGCACUGGAGAGUCAUCUCGAACAGAGCAUUCCACACAAGACAACUUAAAAUGUGUCCCACUCGACUCAUGUCUACGAGGAUGCAGCGCAAGCAGAGAAUGUCGGCCACCAUCGACCUCAGUGUCAUGCUAUCAAAUCGACAGACGACAUAAGAAGCACGCGCCAAGCCAAGCUCGUACAAUGGGGCAGGUAUAGCUCGUGGGCUAUCGACAUAUAGCGCCUUGUCGGUCACUCACGCCAUGAGCCCACCAUUAGAUACAGUGCUUAGGAGGAGCAGGCACGGACACAUAGAACCUUUCUUUGAAACACCCCUCCUGGUCAAGCAACCAACUGCCUCAACCGUCCGAGGGGACUUUCUGAGAGAUCCUCAGGAACUCCUUUUGCAGGUCGCCUCGGCUGACCCUUUGAUGCUAUUCUGACCAGUGUCUCAUCAAAAAGUUCGUCCCAACACAACCCUCAUCACGGCACAUGAUCAGGAGGGGAGCAUCCUUUAGGACUUUUUUCCUUUUUGGUCAGAACAUUUUUUAUGAAAUAGCCUGUCAACAAUAAUGGUUUCCUCUUUCAAGUACUUUUCAUCUUUAGUAACUUUCAAGCAUUUUGCCAGCCACUAGCCAGUAAUGAUUUCCUUAAGAUGGUGAUCACAAAAGGCUUCUCAAAAUGAACCUAAUUAGCUUCUAGAUCAAGGUCCAUUCCAAUUAACUUUCCAUUAAAGUUGUAACUGAAGGAAGCAAGCAUUCACGUAAUUCAUAGAAGUGGAGCACCAGAGGGGCAUCAAGAAGGUUGAAAGCUGAAAACAUGACAAAUAUCAUAGCUGGCAUUAAACGUAACUACUCUAAUGUACAGAAACUUAGAAGUAUACCACUCAAAUAUACAUUAAAGAAACUACACUAUCUAAUGCGAAGAACUAAACUAGAAAAUCUCUAUGGAGCCUUCUCUUCAUAUGGAGCUCCAUAGUUUCUAGGCAUAUGCGUCUUGGUAUAGACACGAUGUCGUCGCUCUCUUGCAUAGAUUACCCAGAAGAUUAAUGACAUCAUUACAGCAACAGAUACCAUUACUAACCCAGUGUAUAUCCAUUUACUAUAUUUCCGCAACUCAGGACAAUGAUCAUCACUGAUAACAGUGAAUGUUUGCCUCACAAAAGUGCAGUCUUGGAGAUCAACCAAGUAUGGACCAUAAUGAUACAAACCAUAGCUGAUGUUCACUGCAGCCGCCAUUUGAUUAUAGUAGGAGGGGGUCAGUCGACCAGGAGUGGUACAUAUUCCAGAUGCAGAUACCUGACAGACAUAGUUGCUCCACACCUGCUUGAAACAGAUAUUCAGAUAAAUUAGUCGUAUUCUGAAAUCUCAGAUAACAUUCAUAUUGGGAAAACUAUGGUAGAGAUGACUGAUGAGGUAAAGGUAUGUUUCAAACCACCAGAGAAGACCAAUAGCCAUUCCAAAAACUUAGUAGGACUGUUAUAUCAAGUACAAACUAUAAUCCUCUACAAUAUUAAAAUCCCAGAAAAUCAUCAUCACACAUAAUAAAAUCAUAAGACCUAAAGAAAAGGCCAACAGGGAGAAUAUGCUUCUAAAAUCAUAUUGAAAAUUACUGGCAGUUUAUAAUCUUGGCUAUUAAUGAGAGAUUUUCUGGAUUGCUGAUUGAAGGUGAAUUGUCAAAAUGAUUUAAACUAGAACAUGACACCUAGGUAAAAUUUCAAAAAAUGAGUUUUAGCUAUAAAUGGAACUGCAGAAAAGCUUUCUGCUUUGCUAGGCUCUCCUAGGUGCCCCAAUCUUACUGUAUACUGCCUGUGAAUUCCUUCUAGGCAACUCUGCCUUUGUUUUGUGCACCAUUGAUAUUUACCUGUGUUGCAUUGUCCAAGUCCACUUCACCAGCUGAACAUUGCCUAGCUGUGAGAUCAGCAUUAAACGGGUUGCAGAGAACUGGAACCAAUGGACCAGAUUGAUUGAAAUACAAAGGAACAAAGUUGGGUGCAAAGUUAAUAUUGCUGACAUUGGUGAUGACAGUAUUAACCACGGUGACAAGUUGGUAGGUAACAUCCUUAGUUCGCAACAAGGUUUCCUGAGCAGUUGCAUUGUCCACACAUGGCAAUAUAUCAUCUAAAGCUGUACGGGCAGUGGGGUUCUGUACCCAUUCAUCCAUUGCAACACAUGUGUCUGCCACCACACUGGUAUGUGAAGGAAAACAAGUCAGAUUUAAAGAUUAUAGGUCAAGUACAGAAGUUAAACCAACAAAUUGAAUCAUCAAACAUUACAAAAGAAACAGCAUCCAAAAUCAUUAUCACUUCUAACAUGUAUGCAGUUCAGAUCCAGCCAAGUUACAUGACAACCUUUUUCUCUUUUUAAAUAAUGACAUAUCAAGUACUUGACAUUUGUUUAAUAACUUGUUACAACUCUUAUGCAUUAAGAUUUUUAGUAAUUCAAAACACUAUCAUAAUUUUUAGGAUUAGGAUAUUGAAUGGCAUAUUGCAGCAUUUUUCUAUGAGAGGACAAAAUGGAAGUGAUGAACCAAUCACAGGCCAGCAAAGAACAUUUAAAAAUAUUUAACAUCAAGUUAAAUAAUGGGUAGAAUAAGGCUUAAUCAAAGAACCACAAAAACAGUUGAAGAAUGGGUAGUGUGUUAGAAGUCAAGCAAGUUAUAGCAUCAUUUUGAACACCCUAAACUUUGUAAUCAAACUAAUGCCACAUUACUCUCAAAUUUUAUUUCAGAAUAACACAAGUAGCAUAAACUAUUUGUGAACUUGCUCACAGAGUUUAUGAAUUGAUCGGGAUAUGCAGGAAGGAUCUGAGUGAUUCAAUGUUCAGAGUGGCUACUAAGAAUACCAAAUGUGACUUGCCCAAGUCCCAUAUUGACAUAUUAUGAUGUGGCUAGAGGUGUUGUCAGUCCAUAUGUAGGAAGGGUCCUAUAUUUCUCAGUAGAUUAAAACUGAACAAGGACUGCUACCAAAGGAUGCAAUUGGUUCUCAAAAAAAAUUCAAUAAACAGCCAUUUGAGAAUUUAACAAUGUGCACCAGCUAAAGAAAAGUAGAAAGCUUGUGUGAAAUCCUUCUUCAAAGUUACCUCAAUCCUGCUUCAAAUUCUCAAGCAAUGGGGACUAGCUAUACAAAGUUUUUUAACUUCAUUUUUUAGAUUUGUAUCUUAUUUAUGUUCUAAUACAACCUCAAUAGGAAUCAAAAAAUAGUUUUAAGAUAAAUCAUUUGGUCAUUUGCAUUAGAUUUGCUUUAACCAUGAAUCUCAUUAUAUUUUAUGGCUGGAAGUAGAAAUUGACAUCAAAAUCAUUGAAGUCAUGAGAGGGAUGAACAUAAUCACACAAAUAGUUGGCAGUUUCUCUACAAUGAGAAAAAAAAAUUGAAAACAGAACCAUCGGGAAACAUUUAUCAUGUUAACAGUUUAAAGAAAUGUAGAGUAAUUGACACAUCUUAGUAAUUUGCGGCUCAACAGGAACCAUAGCAUAUCUCCAAGUUAAUAUUGAAAAAUGAUUAGAAACUUACAGAACAGUUGCACUAUGCUAUAUAUUAAAACUUAAUAUGAAACACAAAAUAUCUCCAUCAGAACCAUAACACAUGCUAAUAGCAGCCAUUGACAGAGAACCAAAUACAUGAAUGCUGAGGUAAGAGGCUACAACAAUGAUAGAAAUAAUAACCUAUCAGGACUUACUUGUGGAGGAGGAGAAAUAUGCCACACAAAAUAAAUGUGCUCGUAACAAGAAUCCACCCAAUGAUCACUAAACUGCAGCACAUUAAUCAUUCAAGUAUAUAUUUUUUUUAAGCAAAGAUGAACACAAAAAGAAAAAGGGAAGUGCCAUCAAAACUAAGUAAUUUAGGACGGAUUAUGAAUAGCAACAACUUGAGAACUUGAGAACUAAACAAAACUUACAAGUAUACAAGACACUGCAAUCCCAGAAUGGAAAAUACUGCAACCAGUAAUCAACAAAAAUAAUGUUAAAAGAAAACGAGAUAUAAGGAUGACAGGUCAGAUUUUUUAGACUUUGCUAAAUUAGAUACAAGAAAUAACAGACUUACAAAACCCAAGAAAUACCAAAAGAAGCAUGACAGCGGCAAGAACAAUAAGAGCCAACCUCCUGCAGCGCAUAAUAAAAGGUAAACUUGAUGAUCAGAAUAUCUUCCUACUGCAUUAUAAACCACUAAAAAAAUCAUAAGAGCUUGUAAUUACACAGCAUCCAAGAGAUCCUGUAUGUCUUUUGAGUUCUUUUGAGUCUUAGUGUCAAGAGUGGUAGCAGAAGCAUUAAUCUUUGUUUCAGCAUGAUCAAUGUUGGUCUGGACAUUUGCAGGCAGAAAACUAGAACCUAUUCCAAUUCGCUUAGCUGCAGAGAGAUAUUCUGACACAUUCUUAAGGUUUUCAGAAGUUGUUUCUGCCUGAUCCACCACAUAUCCCAGUGUGCUUGUUGUACUGCCAUGAAACUUUCCCUGACCAGUGUACAGAACAACACAUCCAAUUCUGCAAUCAUAAAUAUAGUGAGAGAGUCAACAGUGAUCAAGAAAAACAAGCAUCAAGACACAUCCAAUUCUGUCCAAUCCUUAUGCUUCUGUAACAGCUGUGUAUAUUGUAAGAAUAAUUCCAUAUAUCCAAAAUAAGAAAAUGCUGAUGUCAUAUAUCAAAUAUGAGUUGUCCUGAUAACAAAAUUCCAUUCUUUUGCUUGGAAUCUAUUACUUGGUAUUCAGAACUCUAGAUUUCUAACCUCGAGUUCUUAGAAGUCUAGACUUCAAGCAUAUGUACAUGUAUUCCUUUGUGCCCCAGUUGUUCAUUUAUUGGCAUUCCCUCUAUUUACUUCUCCACAUGCAAUGAAUGGAAAGGGGGUGCAGAUGAGGGAAUGCUAGUUUUUUAUGUACAUAGAUAUAGAUACAUAUUUUCUGGCUCAUUGUUUAAAAGCUUCAGAUUCGGAGCAAAAGGUAGUCAAUCAACGUUAGACAAUGCACAAGCAUAAGCAAAAGAAAUAGAUGUUUUGGGUGGGUGCAGAGAGAGAAAGCAGAGAGAAUUACAUGGCAGCAAUGGUGAAAAGUAUGAGCAAAAUAAGAGAGAGUGCAUAGGCCGUUCGAGAAUAGCCAUAAGGUUCUCGUCUACAACAGCAAUAACAGAGACAGAUGAGGGACAAGCAUAGCCCAAAGAGCACAAACCAGAUUCCACCAAGGACGAAAAAGGGAACUGCAGUGUAACUCACAGACUGCAUUCAAACAUUACCCAGAAUGAAAAUGAGACGAUAAUAAUAAUAUUUAUAACAAUGAUGAUAACAGCAGCAGCAGCAACAAAAAUUAAAUUGACCAAGACAAGCAGCACAAUAAGUUAAACAAUGAUAAGAAAGCCCAAACAGAGCCUAAGAAAGUCCAAUACCCAGGGUCAUGAAUUGAAAUUCUUACAGACUAUUAAAACUAAUCACAUUAUCACAUGAGAAAAGCAAUUUUGAAGAUAAAAGAAUUUGUUAAUGGAUUAUAGGACCUCAUACUUCACCACAAAGAUUUACAAUAUGUUUAUAAGGGAGGAAUUGGAGGGAAAAAAAGGGAAGCAAAUUAGAAGUUGGAACCAGCAAACUCCCAUAUCUGGAACCAACAGAUCUGUAAGGAAAGGAAUUAAGAAAGGGUUUAAAGAGAUUAGAAUAAAUAUAUUCUAUCAAAAAGCUGGUGAAUUUGGACAAGAAUGCAUUUUCACAUUUAAAAAUUCGUUUCUACGUGCCUAUUUUCCACAUUUCUGCUUUUACUUUAAUACCAGAACGGAAAGGCUAUGUCAAUGUUCAACAAGGUAAAAUGUGAGAGAGAAAAGAAAAGAAAAAAUAUUUUAUUUUCUUUAAAAAAAAUGCAUAAGUUACUAUCUAACUCCAAUAAUAGUAUAUUUUCUUUCCUCUUUUUCAUACUAAAGCCAGAGAAAAUCUUUUUCCUCAUUUUUUUUUCUUUCGUUGGUGAUUUCCUGGACAAACAUAGCGAUAAAUUUCCGUAUAUUAAUUCAUAUUCCUGAAGAAAUUAAGCAAAACGGAUGACAAAAUACGUUAUAUUCAUUACAGAAAACUACAACCCAGUACCAAAAAUGCAAAACCCAGGUGAAACAACGGGUAAAAGAUAUUUACAAAAAGAUAAAAUAAAAAAAGAAGAAGAGAGAGAGAAAGAGAGAAGAAUAACCAGAUAAGGAAAAUCAACCAAAGGUUUAGAAAAACUUACAGCCCAGUAAUGGCCAUUACUGAUAUUCCACCCACCAGUGUAGUAGCUGAACCCAUCGGAAGGGUCUUUCCUGUGAGUUCUUUUGGCAGCCAGUAUCAGAGACGAGUUGUCCCCGCUCCCUUCUGCAAGAGACCUCCUUGUCUUCCAUGGAACCAACCCACCAUUUUCCCGCCCUCCAAACACCUCUACACCACCCAAAAAAACCCCCAAAAAUCACCCAAAAAAUAAAAAAUUCAGAAAACCUAGUUCCAGAACGAAAAAAAAAAGAAAAAAAACUUGCGUUCAGAAAAAGCAGGGAAAAAUAAAAGAAAAGAAAUACCUUGAACACGUAAAGGCUGGGGAUGGUGCAGUUGAGAACUUCCAUGGGAGAAUGUGAAGGAAGUAGAAGCUAUGAAUAUACAAAAGGGAAGAAGAAGAAGAAGAAAAGCAGAGUAAGAUCUCAGAUAUAGCAUGAUGCUUAUCUCUCGCUCUGAUACAGCAGGCUCCCCUCCGGUCUGCUUUGAGAGAGAAGAAGAGGAGAUUUAUUACUAUUUUACGAAGCUGAGAUCCUCGGCUUUUCGUCUUUUGCGCUUAUCUCAACCCAUUACCAUUUCGGCCUCUAUACUUUGUCGGUAUUCCAUCUUUUUUAAAUGACAAAAACACCCCUCUCUCUCUCUCUACCACAAAUUAAUCCACUAAUUAAGUUAACUAAUUCCCCCUCCCUAAACUCUUUAGUGAAGUUACGACUCCGAUUCCAAGGUCUGCAACACGGCAUUACUGACUUCGAAAUUACAAAACUACCCUUUCGGCAAAUACCAAAUUAUAUCCUCAAUAAUGCUUUGGAAAUUAACAAAAUAUUUUUAAAAAAUAACAAUAAUUGUAACAAUAUCUUUUAGCAGUCCUUCCGAAGGCUUCAAGCUGAAGAAGGGCUGUUUGGGUUUCAAAUUACGUCCUUGUCCUCCUACCGAACGACAACCCAAGAAUGGAUUUGGUUUUGGGCCAUCAUGGUCAUGUUCGAUACUGUUUUUAUAUUUUAAUUUAUUUUUAUUUUUCUUGUGAUUUUAUUUACUUAAUUUCACGUUCCUCCACGUUUUAUUAUUAUCAUCAUUGUGACGUGGCAAUAAUUGUACGCCUUGUCACGUCAGUUUCCUUUUGACCAUAGAGUGUGGCACAAACGCACAAUUAUCAACCAAGACCAAAAGUGGAAAAUUAGGUGAAAAUAAUGCCUUAAAUUUUGAUUUAUUUAUUUAUUUUUAAUCAGAAAAGGCCCCCAAAAAAAAUAUAAAAAAAUUGUAUAGUAUUUACAGGUGUCACCUUGGGUGGACGUAAUAAUUCACUAAUUCCAAACCAUUUUAGAAUUCCCAGUGACAGCUUGACAACUACACAAGGAUUGUUUAGACCUUCCACAUAAAGCAGUAAUUUCCUUUUUGAAUCUGAAUCAUUUUGUUGCGGGGCAUUUUGGUCCAUACAGUUCUGGAUAUGGGGUUCUGGGGGUGAGAUUUUUUUGAGGAAGCAUGAUGAUGACGUGUAAUGAAGCUGUCCCAAGACAAAUUUCAAAAAAAAAAAAUUCUAUUUUUAAGAUAUUUUUAUAUGUCAAAAUUUUAAUCCUCCAUGAUUGCAUUCUUAUACAAUUAUAUUAAAUAAUUUAUUUGGAAUUUAAAAAAAAACUGAAAAAUUAAAAUAAAAAAUAAGUGAUUUUUUAGAAAUAGAGCUCAUCUUUUAAAAAUUAUCAUUUGCAUGUAAAAAGAUAAAUUUGUUUUUAAAAAAGGAUUAGUUUGAAUUUAAAAAAAAAUGAAUUUAUUUUUUAAAAUAUGAGUUUAAUAUAAAAAUGAAAUAAUUUUUCCAGAAAAUAAAUUCAAUAUGAAAAAAUAAUUCAUAUUUUAAUAUAACAACUAAAUUCGUUUAUUUUUGUAGUUAUUUUAUAUAUAAUUAUUUUUGAAAAAUAAUAUUUAAAAAAAAUCUCACUUUAGACAUUUCAACUUUAAAUUUUAAUAAUAAGCAAAUUGAAUUAGAAAUUUGUGUGAUUAACGUUUUUUUUUAAGACAACACUUAAGCUCUAUUUGAUAAUUAUUUUCUCUAAUAUUUAUAGAAUAAAAGUCUUUUAAUAAUUUUAAAAUAUUUUUAACUUGUUUUUAAUAUUUUAAAAUAUAUUUAAAUUUUUUUAUAUCUAUUAUUUUAUUUUUAAUUAUUUUACAUGUAAAACAGUUCUAGGCAAACAUGCCCUUAAAUAAUAGCCUCUUCCUAUGAGGCAGCCCAAGUUCCAAUACUUUAAGUUCACGCCUACAUUUGUAAACUUAAAAGCCACACUCAAAAAGUUGUCACGGUUUAAGCAAGAGAGAGAAGGCCCAGAAGGGAGAGGAGGAAAUUUGGGGUGGAGGAUUUGUGUGAAAACGUGAGAAUGUGUCGUUUUGUAAUUGAAAGUGUCAGCCACCUGUCAAUUUUUUACAAUUCUGACAAACCAUCGUGUCCGCCUCCCCAUGUUCCUGCUCUGUGGUGUCUCCGCGUGCCUUUCUCGCUCCUUUGGAUCUACGUAAACUAUUCCCAUAGACCCAUCAAAUUAUACCAUACUUUUUAUAUAUUCAAACUAUAUCUUUUUUUUUUUUUUUUCAUACCAUGGGGCGUAAUCUUAAUCGAAGAGACGCCAAAUGGCUGGAAAAAGCUUAGGUCCGGUACACAAGGUUGCUAAUCCAACAUUAGUCUACAAAAUGAUUACUUAAUUAUUAGGGAUGACCGUGACCAUGAACCUGUCCUUGUGUACAGCUGGCAAAUUUUUAUAAACAAACCCUCGAAACCUCCCUCUAUACUUCACACAGGUUCCAAACUAUAAUUUGAAUUGCGCCGUCACUGGUUUUACAUUCGUAGACAUCUGCCAACUCACUUUUAUAAUCUCCUUGCCUUUCUUUAAUCACCUUUACCUGCUUCUAUUUUAAUUCAUAAUCAGACUUUAUUUUUAUUUUUAUUUUUUUUUUUAAAUGAGUAUUUAGAGGAUGAGAUAACUGGUGGUUGAGGUGGAGAGGAGGCAUUGGCAUGUGGGUGACAACGUGGCAUUGUAAUGGUGUUGAGAUUUGAAAAUGACUAACUAAUAGGACAAUGGGAGUCAGAAGUGAGCGGACUGCAAGGGGGUCCAAAUUCUGAAAAGCAGAGCUCUUACAAACUGCAUAGGAAAUAGUCCCUCUUUUGACUACUCCGAAAGAAGUUGCUCCCACCCAUAUCACAGCUGUUCAUUCUCUUAUUUUAAAAAUUAAAACCCAAAAAUAAAUAAAUAAAUAAAUUCAAGAUGCUGCAUUUGCCCACAAAUACUCAAUGAUGUGCAAUCAUGUCUUCACGUGCAUUGAUCCUGUCUCCUAUGAUUGUUUUUUUUUUUUCUCUUAUUUUUCAAAAUUAGUGUUGGAGCAAUUUAUUAAAAAUUAUAUUUUAAGAUUUAAUAUUAUUAACCAUAAAUAACAGAAAAAUAAACAAAAUAUAAUAUUUUUAAGAUGGUUUAACAAUCUACCACUAGAAGAAAUAAAAGAAAUUAUAAUAAUGAAACUCUUAAAAAAAACAUUAUCAAUUAAGACUACAUUAUUUCAAAAAUGAAAUUCUAAAUAUAAAAGAGUUAAACGAUCCCAUGAGCUGAUGGGACAACUUAAUCCCCGAUAUUUUAAGUAAAGUAUAAUAAAAUUGAAUCAAGCUUUUUGGAGUAAGUGGUGAUUUAAUUUUUCAAGGAGAAUAUGGAGUGGUUAGCUUAAUUCCCGAAAGGAGAAAGUAUAGAAUUAGAAUAGGAUGCUUAGUAAAGACUAAAAACCAAAAAGAAGAAAGAAAAAAGGAAAAAGAAAAAAAAAGCAUACGAUGGGGCCUACAAUUGGGAAAAGAUGCCCAAUUUAAAAGACAUUAGGCCCCAACUUUGGUAAAAAUAUUGAAUGUGAUAUUGAUUAGGGUCCAAAGGUUUGGUUCCAAGUGCCUCAUCAAAGAUGCAAGAUGAUAUCUGAGAUUAUGAUAUGUGGGCUUAAGUUUUGGUUCCAACCCAAGUUUGAAAAUGAUGGACAUACACUUUACCUACAACUAAAAGGAUGUUUGAAACUUACAGGCGCGUCUGAGUCGGUGCAUAACUCAAAUUUCAUUUUAUUUUUGAUAAAUAAUUGGUAGAAAAUAUAACAAUUUUAGAACCCAUUUUUUAAAGGGAUAAUUUCAAUUCAAAUACUUAAUUAAAAAAAUAUUUAAAAUUAAAAUAAUUUCAAAAAUUCUUAUCCAUGAAAAAGAGGGGGUGGGUUGGUUUCUUUUCUUGAGCUAAUGAUUUGAAUGUGACAAUGAACUGGGGGAGCCCUUCAAUCUUGUUGCUUCUUCAACGGCUAAUUAUAAGGGCAAGAGACGCGCAUCAAAGCUAUUCAAAUCACUAAUAAAAACUUGUCAUAAAUUGGGGCCCCUGCCGUUGAAUAUCUUGAGUGCAUCAACAAUUUGCUUCAUUUUUUCAACCCCAGAUUUUGGCCCCUGAUCACAAAUCUUCAAGGAAGAGUAAAGACAAUGACAGUUUUUGGCUCUAAUGGACCUCUAAUCUUUACCCGUUAUCCUCAUAAUCAGUGGGCGAUGACUUUAAUUUUUGAGCUCAAAUUAAACUCUCUCUUUGAGUCCCAACUGUGAGUGAAAGGGUCGAAAAUUCAUCCAUUUAUGCAUGUUAAACUCGUUACAUAUUUAUGAGGCCAGUCCAGGAGCCCAGUAUUUUGGGCUUAAAACUGUUUAAAUUAAGCCCAUGAGAUCGCAAAAUUGUUGAUUGAAUUAUUGGGCUCAAGUUUGCUGGUUGGGCCUUAAAUUUUAUUUUCUUGGGUUCUUAACUAGGAUAACCUGGCCCAAUAUCAAGUUUUUCAUUUUCCUUGUAACAUGUUUUUUACCUUUAGUUUAAAUAUAGUAAAAAAUAGAAGAAUAUGCAAACGACACCUUAUUAGUGAAGUUUUCAACUCAUAUCAAACAAGAAAUUUGAUAAAAAUAUUUACCCAACUGUUUUUUUUUUUUUCCUUUAAAUUUUUUUUUCCACAGCCAUGACAUGACAGAAAGAAUCAUACGAUCAUGACUUACAAGUCAACAUUUCGUUCAUCAUUUUCUUUAAUGUAUUCUUGAUUAUCUCCUAAAUUUUAGGUUUGAUUGGCUUUUUUUUUUUUUUUUUCAAAAUAUCCCCAUAAGGUCACGUGUAAUUAAUAAAUAAAAUCAAAUACAAAAAUCACGAAUUUGGGUGAAUUUCAGAAUAUGAAAUCUGCCACGUCAUUAAUUCUAAUGCAUCAGAAUCAUGUCCUCAUCUCAUCAUUAACAAGCUUUGGAAACCCAAAUUAAAUGAGGAGGGAUGAAAUGAUGAAGAAAUUGCUUCACAGACUCGCCUGCUUUACAAACAUCAUGAUGCCCUUUUCCCAUUUCAUUAAGUCCAGUUGUCAGUGUUAACUUGUUAAGCGUGGUAGGUUUUGACUGGUCAAAAAUUAUUUUGCUAUAAGAUCACUGAAUGAAGGUGGUGUCUCUUACGGUCAAAGUCAAAGGAAACCCCUCCUUCCUUCCAAGAUUUUUACUUCUUUUGGGACCUCCAGGCUCCACCAUGUGAGGGGUGACAAAGAUUACAGUGUUUAAUAAUCCUUUUUUUUUCCCAUGGAGCUUCCAUGCCUUUCUUCAUUAUAUUCUUAUGUGCAGAAGGUUACUUCAUCGUCUGCAAAAUUCAAAAUUUGCGGUUCAAUUAGGUUUAUAAUAUAUGUUUUUCAAAUGACUUGUUUGAUUUAAUGUUUAGAAAAUCGAUUCUGGGAAGAUAGAGAUGCAUUGAGAAGUUCAUGGGAAUCAAGUGGAAGGCAUGAAGGGAGGGAGAUGGAGGCCGUCCAAGAUGAUCAUGACUUAAAUUAAUAUCAUUAUGAUAUGAAAACCUUAGAAAAAUGUACAAAACCAUAACUUGGAAUUGGGAAUCACGUGAUGCCAUUAAGACAAAACUCCCGACCAACUGAAUAAUUAACUUAAAACCCUGAAGAGAACCUUAGAGAAAGAGAGCUGUUGAAGAAGCUAGGGUCAGUCAAAAUCUCAACAAAAAAAAAAAAAAAAACUCAAGUAGUAGAAGCUUGUUUUUUUUUUCUUUCAAUUUUUGUUCUCCUUGAUUAAUUUAUUUUCUUUGGCUAACACAUAGGAGAUCUAUGAGGAAUGCCUUUUCUUCUACUCAUGCUUGUAGCCAUGUCCUCUUCUGAAACCUUACUAGCUGAUCUUCCACACACAUACAGUCCACUCCGCUUCUUUCGGACUAUCUCAGUGCACAUCAUGCUCAUGUUCUCCGAACCGGAAGAGCCCGAAGACGAGCUCAUUGGCUCAUCGCAGUCCACGAUCGUCGAGUGGGGUGUCUCAUUGGUCAUCUCAUCCUCUCCCAUGUCUGGAGGGACCAAGAAGUCUGGACUGAGUUGUAGAGAGUGGCAUGUCCUCAAGUAUGGGGAGAGGUCCUUGUUGUGUUUCAGCAAAAAGUCCACCUGAUAAUUAAGAUCAUGAAGAAAAGAUCAAAAUCUCGUCAUCAUCAACAGGCCUUUUCUCCCCCCUUCUGUAUUAUGAUAUGUAGAAAUACAAUAUCAUGGACCAAAAUUCAAGUUGACUGAAUGCAAUAAUUCGACAAUUGAAUUCAAUUAUGAAAGGAAGUGCAGUUAUAUUUGGAGGUUCUUUCAAAUGAAAUGAUUAUCAAACUACAAAGAAAUUAUGAAGAGGAUGCUACCUUGCAGCCAAGAGAGCAGUGGAUAUAAGGUUCUUGGAGGCUCCUGUCACAGGAAGUACAAUAGUUUCCAGACCCUUUAAACUGCCUAUUCUGAGGUCGUUUCUUGAUGAACACCACUUUUGCGCUAUUAAUAGUAUAGGCCUAAAUGAAAUUUCAGCUAUGUCAGAAGGAUAUAUAUUAAAGACAACAAGUGUCAAGAUGCAAAGAGAGAAUUCAGAAUAUGGAAUUCUCCAGGUUGCACCAACCUGAACAUUGGAGCAGUCUAUGAGCUUCUCGAGGUCUUCCAAUCUGACAACAUCAUGAUACACAUAACGACGAACCUGAACAAGCCUAUGGAAGCGAUGGAACUGCAAGCAAUGAGGGCAAAUACUGGUGCAACAAUCCAAACAAAGGAUAUUCUUCUCAUUCUUCUUUGCAGUUUCAUGAAUUGAGCAGCUCACGAAGAAUUUCUGGGUGUAGAGGGCUUCCAACCAUGCUGGUUUCUGAAUUCCCUAUAAACCAUUACAGAACAACCCAUGAAUCAUCUGUACUGGAAAGCCAAUAAAAAUUGAGUAGAAAGAGGGAGAGCAUACCAUGAUCAUAUCAACACAAGAAAGAAAGACUGUCACUCCUUUGAGUUGUUAUUGAGAAAGUGAUGCAGAAGAGAGCAAUAGAGAGGGAGUAGGGUAUGGAGAUAAGAGUAUUUAUGGAGGGUCACAAGAGAGGUAAGGGUAUAUAUUUAUUCAUUGAAAGAUACACGGCAUUUUGUCAAGAAGUAGGGCUUGGAGAGAGAGGGAGAGAGAGGGUGAGAGAGAGAAAGCAUUAAAGAAAGGGAGUAGGAUAUGAAGAGAACGUGGGCGCUGUUUCCGUGUCUCCCAUACUCUACAAUCCCUUUAAACAAUUCUUCUAAUCUCCUUGGCUCAAGAGCUGUUAACCCUAAACCAACUAAGCUCUCCUUGGAGGAGCUGCCCUUAAUUGUAAAAAUUUCCUCUCCACAGUUAUUUUUUUCAUUUGAUUCCCAUCUCUUAGUUGGUGAAAUGUGGUGGAGCUGGCCUCUUUGUCUUGAACUUUGAGAUACUUCAAUUAAUUUUUAUGUUUGUAUACUCCCUUGUAUUCGCUUCAAGUGGUGACAGCUUCAUACAGCUCUCUUGUUCAUGCAACAGUCAUGGGUACACAAUGAUCAUCUCCAUUGGAGACAUUUUUGAGCUCUCAACUAUUGGCAGUAUCUACUAAACUUGACUCCAAAUACCAUGAGUACUUUUCGCUACUUCCCUUUUUGGACUUUCUUCACUACUCAUUAUAUAUGCCUCCUCUAAGUAUAGUUGAUAAAGCUUGGGGUAUUGCCAGUGGUUUAUGUAAUUUUCUCAGAAAAUCUUGAAUUGAUGUUUUCCAUUGAGCACCCUUUCCUUUACUGGUAAUUUGGUCCAACUCCUAAGUCCUAACUAAAGUAACCAAAAUUUAGUGCAUAUGGGAGAAUGGGGCAAUUUUUUUAAAGAAGUUUCUAAGGGGUCCAAAGCUAUAGCUAGGCAAGCCUAUAGAACACAUGUCUAGCUAUAUAGCUAGUAUAAAAAGAAGAUCAAUAUAUUAUUAAGAAGACGAAAGUUUGUGCCUGCAAAGGGUUGGCGACCGACCUAAGUUAUGACCCAAUUUUCAGUCUUCACAUUGACAAUUUCAAUAAAAAAAAGGAAAAAAUCUUACUAGUACAAUUCCUAUUAAUCAUAUAAAUGUGCACGCCCUUGUGAGUUUGCUGGGAAAGCUUUUGAUAUAUGUUCCCAACUCAAGAAAUGAAGUUUGAUAGAGGAUUUGCUUACAAUGUUAUGCCGGUUGACAGCUGCAACUGGGUUAGAAUUGGGUCACGGACACAAAUCUCCCAAGGAGUUAAACUCAUCUAAUUAAUUAAUCCAUUAAUCUUUGUUGAUUUCCUAAGUCAAAUAAACGAUGACCCAAAGCUAACUAAAAGUGCCAUUCACAUUUAGUUACACCAUGCAUUACCACAUUCAAAUGAUCAUCCUUUAUUCUAAUUAGUGGAAAAGUUAAUUAGUUAGGCAGGAGUACUACUAGGGGGCAGCUAGGAUAUUGAAAUCUCCUACAUACCAUCAUAUUCAGCCCACUUUGCCCGACGUUCCUUCAUUUACGAUUUGUUUGGCACUUUUUCUUCACCAUAAGAUGUCGGGUUUUGACAAUAUAUGUCUGCGUUGAAUCUGGUCAAUAAUAAGUUGGCAAUUAUCAUCAUUUGAUCGAUAAAGCAACAGGACAUGUCCGAGGAGACCUGGUUUUGGGGGAAUGAAACAUGGCAACAUUCAACCAACUACUCCACUAAUGAAAAACUGUGCUUAAAUUAUGCAGUUUUGCUGCAAAUAUCGACAGACAAAAACAACUCAUUCAGCACUACCAUACCCUCAAAAACUAUUCCCAUCAUUAAUAAGCCUAUGAGUGCUAAUUUUGAGGAGGCCUUGCCUGUUUGCAUCUCUAAGCUUUAACCAAGAGUUAAUCUUGGGUUUUGAAUGCUAUGAAAUUAAUUAUCAUACACAGGUUAUAUUAUUAAUAAUAUUCCCUCGAUACCCUUCACUCCUCCAUUCAGGCUGCAGCUUGUUUGCUUCAUCCAGUCACCAGCCAGACCAUGUUACUGCACUUUAAGUUAUGCUAGCUAGCUAGCUAGCUCUAUAUACCUUCAGGAAUCAGCUCCAUCAGUUAAGCAAAUGACAAGUAGUAUGAAACUUAGUAGAGUAAUAUUCAAUCCAUCAGAUGAUUACAUAGCAAUUAGGCCAAAAAAGGUGUUCUUACAGCCCCAACAAUGCCCUUGAUUUUAAUAGUAAGAAUCUUUAGUAGCUUCAGAUUGAUUUGUAUGAUUCUAUGGCUUUAAUCAACUGCAACAGGAAAUCAACUGCAAUGGAGUUUGCAUGAAUUUCAUGUACUACUCUUCACGAUUUUCCUCAAUCGAUAUGCUGUUGCUUCAAUCCCAGAUGAAGAAGAAAAUGUGAGUUCAUUUGCAAAAGGUAAAAUCACAUGAUAAAAGAAACCAGCAGGUACGAAUGCAUGCUUUGUUCAUAUCCUAAACUGAUGUGUAAAAUCUUGUUCACUGUCAAAAAGAAGGGAAAAGAGAAGUAGGAAAAAAAAGGGCAUACGAGAACAAAUACUUUUGCUGCCAUGCACAUUGCACUAAACUCCUCAAAAGUUUCCCAACCAAACACAGCAGUUCUGGGAAAAAAACUCAAAAAGAAAGGAAGAAAAAAAAAAAAAAAAACCUAAUUAAUUGUUUGCUUAGUUCCUAAGUACCUCUCAUUAAUUUAGUGCCUAAAUUCUAACAUAAUCAAGUAAAUUUUUCUUAUUAUUAAUUUAUGAUAUUCAAAGGCAAGAAUCACUGUGUAAAAAUCAUUGAAAUGAUGAACAAGGAUCCGCUCCUUUAAAGAACGGAAUGAAGUACGUACGCUCGAUUUCCUUUCCACCGGCCCUUCAGAAGAUGGACAUAACUUGGAUCAUAAACAUGAAUGAUAGUGAGACUUUUCUCCUACCCUCAUCCACAAGUUAUACCCACCCUGCUUCCCAUUACAUGAUAGCAAUGGCGUGCCACAGGAACUUCUGUUGGGAUAUUUUAAUUCAAAAAAAAAAAAACCUUGUAAUUUCGUAAAAAAAUAUAGCUUGGCCUUGGCCUUAUAAGCUACCCAAGAGUCCUCAUCUCAGUCACUCGUGUUCUUUUUUGAAAUUUUUUCUUUAAAAUAGAAAUAUUAAUUUUUAGUUUACAAGCCAAUUAAUUAAGUGUAUCAUAUUUGGUAAUCCAGGGGCUUCUAUUAUACCAAGCUCUUACAAGAGAAAUCAAAUUCAAAUGUUGGGUUAUCGAAAACCGAAACGGUGCACGUGUGCAAGUAAUAUAAUAUCUGAAAAAGAUGGGGGGAAGACAGAAUUAUAGAAAGAAAUCAAAGAAAAGGGUAGGGGCGAGGGCACGUGAUAAAGAGGGUCCCAUGAAGGGAAAAGUAGUAUUAUAAGAAUGAAGGUCACGUGGAAGGGAUCCAAUGGCCCUGACAAAUGACAUUUACAAAAAAUUUAUUCCCGUUGCCACAUCCAAAGUGGUUGGGCCCGUGGUCAACGGUCAAAGGGCCCAUUCACUGCAGGAGAGGGCAGGGCAGGGCAGGGAAGGGAAAGAACAAACAGAGGAUGGGAAUCAUGGGAUCAGCGUGUGAGCCGCACGAGGGGGGCGAGAGCCAAAGGGGCACUCCCCACUCCCACUCCCCCACGUGCCCUCAUCCCUCCCUUGUAUGCCCUUAUUUUUAAGGCCAUGGGUCACGUGAAGGCGCCCUUUCCUCAGGCCCUUUUCACAUAUCACAACCCACUAAUUCAAAUUAUUAUUAUAUUUUUUAUCCCAUCCAGGCAAAUUAUUCAAACAAAAUUCAUAUGGUACAACCCCAUUUCGAUAAUAUAAUUAUAAUAAUUUUAAAAAAUAAAUAAAUUCAAAUAUAAACAUUUUUAAAUUAAUUAAAAUAAAUUAUCAAUUCUCACUAAUAACAUAACAUUUUCAAGCCUUCUGUGCGGAAAACAUGAUGAAUGAUUGCUGAAUUGUGCUUGUGUAGUUGAUAAGGGCGCAUGAUCUGCACAGGUCUUCAAUCUCCUUCUCCGUCAGAUAGUUGGAGGUUUGAAGAAUAGACUGUAACAAAGAAAUUAAUUAGCAUUUGAGAAUGUGUUUGAUCGUAUUCUUAUUCUAAAUGCUUUUAAUGAAAAUAUUUUCUUUAAAAAUGUAUUUAGGUGAAUCACCCGGAAGUACUAUAAGUGAUUUUUCAAUUUUUUCGAAGUGUUUUUUAAAUUUUGUCAAAUUUCUAAAAGUACUACUAAAUUGAUUCUAAACUGAACUCAUCCGCCAAAACCACAGGAGUUCACCAAAAUUUUGGAUGUUUUUCUCUUCAUUGCGGGAAACUACAAACAAUAUUUAGUUUGGAACCCACGUUUACUAUUAUUGGGUCCUGGCCAACUAAUUGAACUCUGAACUAGGGCACUAGGGUUAGAAUCAAACUAGCCCAAAUCUUCAUGGCCUUGAUCAACAAGCACACAUUUGUUGCUUAUGGAGAAUAUCCUAAAACAUAAGCACGAACAGCUGCAGAAAGAAUGAACAAGAAUGAACAUUACCUGUCUGAAAGGCCUUAAUAUCGCAGGAAUGGAGGAAUUGGUAUAAAUGGGUCGUAGAAAAGUGGUUCCUACAAAGAUACCUCCACUUCGUAAUAUACGAGUGAUUUCAGCAACCUGAGAAAAAUCAAAUGAUAUGAUCACUAGUUGCAUGGUGACAUUAGAUGCAGAUACACACCCAAUUGAGUGGCAUAAAUAAACGGUAGCUAGUUAUCAAAAUUUCACAGUUCAGGACAGGAUCACAUCCACCACAAACAAAAGAGAGCCACAUUGAGAGGGACACAAACCAAACAAGAAACUGAGUCCAUCAUAUUUCCAAAUUUUUGCAGACCACAUAAAAAGAAAUGCAUCAGAGUGAAUCAACCUAAGUCUGAUAGGUGGGACCUCUAAAUUGACCUCUGAAAGCCUUGCAGAUGAUCGCAUCAAUAUGCACUUACUAGAACACAGCCGUAGAUUCUGAAUGAACCAAGGGUAUGGGGGGCAAAUGACUAGAGCAGACUUUAUCAAACCACAUUCAUUACAAAUAUGCUGAAAAUUUUCAUAUAUUGUGGAAUCUCCUGCUUAUAGCACAUUUCUCAUGGUCGUACUAGAUUGAUUCUACCAAAAUCAAACUGGAAGCCAUAAACAAGUCAACUAUAUAAAACUCCUAUAACAUUAUCAUCUGACAUUUAGAUAGUUAAAAAUAUGCUUCAAUCUCCAUGCUCUGAUAUUUACAGUCCUCAUAAGAGUGAUAGCAUUCUCUCAGAUCUCACAUGUCUAGUACCAGGAAAUAUAUUUACUACAUUGAAAGAUAGGUUUUUAUUAAUAUAUUUAUCUAUUUUUAUUUUUAUUUUUUAUAAUGUUCAGAUGGGUCAAGGAACAGUUCGAUACAUGUUAACCCAUUUGAAGAUCACAAUAGGUUAGUUGGUUAACGUGUCUCUGAUGAACAAUAUUUAUCUCCAGUUUGAAGCCUUCUACAAGCAAAAGACAUGGCACUGGCAAAGAGCAGCAACAAAGCAAGAUCCAUGCAGCCAAUAAAAAAUAGAUGGUAUGGUAUCAUGUCAAUGAGAAUCAUGCCAUAUAUGCUCACUAUUAGGUAAGGGUUGUUUAUUUGUGGAUUUCAAGCUUAAGGUCAAAGAAUAUUCAAUGAAGGUCCUCCAACUUGCAAAACUGAAUUAAAGAAAAGGGAGGAAAGAACUAGUCCUGCUUCAGAGUAUAAUAAAAAAUCCCUUCUAUUAUACCAUUUUAUAGAGUCAUUUAAAUGCUACAAAAGCAUACUUCAAAUACCGUAAAAUAUAAAAAUAACUGAUUUAAUUUCCAUGGGGUAACCAACCACCCUUUUCUAGAACUUGCUAAAUAGAAACUGGAGAAGAAACAGCACUUACUGCAUUAGAAGGUGAUGGCCAACAAUGCAAAGCUGCACCGGCAUGAACAGCAUCAACUGAACCUGAUGAAAAGGGAAGCCUAGAAAUAUCUGCUCUAACAAGAGCAAGAUUACUGCACAUUCUUCAGUGAAACAUAGAUCAGGAACGUCUCUCUUUCUUAUAAUGGAUUGAUAGCCCUAAAGGAAGUUUAAAAAGAUACUGAUAAAAGGUAGCAGAUCUGAUUGAAUUAUCUGACAGGAAGAGAAACUUACGUCGUUAAACUAGGGUUAUCUUUCUUAAUGAAAUCAUAACAUUGAUGAAGCAUAUUUUCGGAAAAAUCAAGUGCAACAACUCCAGAAUAGGUCCCAGAUUCUGCAAAUUUUCGAGAAAACAAGCCACUCCCACAGCUGACAUCUACCAGAAGCCCACCUGCUGCAGGUUUAAAGUACUCUUGAGCCAUUUUGAACUGCACAAUGUCAACUUUUAUGUGAUUAGUGCCUGAAGCAUAACCAGUAGGUCUGGGACUUAAAGAGUUCCACACAAAUAGUAGAAAGAAAUGACUUCAGAUUAUUUCCAUUUUGUUAAUCACGAAUUCAUUUUUCAGGAUAAAGUAUCUUUCCAUGUUCAGAGAGACGACUCAAAAAAAAUAUAUGAUAACUUAUUUCCAUCACAAUUUAUUCUUUUAGGAUGAGUCCAUGAAGUUCUUCAACCAUUCUAGCCUCUAUAAUGAGAAGACAUACCAAAGAAGACUAACCUCCUCAUCAGGACCAGGGAAACCCCUCAGGUUAAAAUUUUGACGCCAGCCUCUUUCAUACAAAAAUGAAACAAGUGGACUCCUAAUAAAAGUGAAAGCACUGGAUGUAAGACACGUGCAUUUCCUCAAAUGAUUUGAUCUGGAAAUAAAUACUUACCGGAAUAACUCAGUUCUAACUGGUUGAGCUUCAUUGUAGGCCUUUGACCCAGCAGUAAUAGUGAGAUCCAGAUACAUGUCUUUGCUGGAAUAUGACUUAUUGCAAGUCUUACAUUUGAAACCAGACCUGUAGAUUGCUGGCCUGCAGAUUGUGUAGUUCUUAAGACAAGGCCUAGCCAGAUCAAAUUGAGAGCAGAAAAUAAUUCAAUCUCUACAGGCAUUCCAACUUACAAGUUAAGACCUGGAGGGCCUUUUCUGAUUAGCGGUUCAUAACACACUGGACAUGAAAACAAGUCAAAAUCCAUAUCAUUAUUCAGCUGAGGGCUUGAUUCCUGAAAAUUCAAAUCUUUACUCUCACUGAUUUGAUACUAGGAAGGAAGAGGAAAACUGAGAAGCAAAUAUAGAACAAAAAUGAUUCUAAAUCUGUUUCAUAUAACUUACUAGCUACAAAACUUGUUCAACACUCUGCAACACAGAUGGUUUGCAGCCUUGACCCACAAAACUAAAAUUAGAGUUAAGCAACAGAUGUUUUAAUCUUUUUAAAUACCUUAAACUUCAUAAUUGUGAUAGCCAAGAUCGAUCUUGGAUAGUAUCUGCCUAACACCUCUUUAUAAGUCUAUGUUACUAUGUAGCUUAUUCCUAUUUCCUACUGAAACAUCGACUGGCAGUGCUAUCAUGUGGAUGUACAACAUAAUUUGCAGUUCCUUAUACCAGCCAUGGGACAUCAGCCACACCAAUUCAGCUCUGUACAUCUACUCCAUAGAAUAUGAGAUUUUCAAAUGUUUCCAAGUAAGCCCAUAUAUCCAUCUUAGGGGUACAAAAUUUUGGCGAAGUUGUUUCGAUUGUUGCUGGUUACCAACUUAUCUCCAAUGUAGUACCAGCAAAUUUUGGUUGUGGUGCAUCCUAGUCAAUCAGGCGUCUAUUUCCCUACACAAUCUCUAUCCGUCAUUUUUCUCUAAGUUUAUGUUCCUUCAGUCUUUAAGGCAUUCUGAACCAACAAAAACCAAAAAGUCAUCCCCUGAGAGCAUUGAAGAUCAAAAUAUCACCAAAUAUUUGCAUAGGACAUGAUGGAGUCAUCCCCUGAGGGAAAAUGUUGUCAUGAAAAUGAAAUAAAUGGAGACAUAUUGAUUGUUCAAUUUGGUUGAUGAGAAUCAAAAUCAAAAUUUAACAUUCAACCAUGCCUUAUAUAAGGCCAUUUCUUUUCAUUUUGGAACCAAGAAGUCAAACCAUGAAAGAAAGAAACCUUUAUUUUCUUUUUUCUUUUUCUUUUUUUAUCUAAAUUUCUUAGCAACCAAACAAAAGCAAAGAAAUUUCCCCCCAAAAGAAUCUUCCCGUUAAAUCUGUUCAAAGAGUCGGAUGCUGAGUUUUCAAAUCCAAUCAACAGUACUAAAACUAAAAUUCAAACCAGAUAAGCAGUACAAAUAACAAGCACAUUUGCCACGUUGACUUUUAAAGAAGAAAAAUAAAAACCACUAUUUUGGUUAUAAGAGGAUAAGAAUCUAAUUUUCUUCCCUUAUCUUUGAACUUCUCAGCAACCAAACAAAGAAGAGGGGAAAAUACCGGUUCAAGAGCAACUGCUGAGCUGGCUCGAAAUCUCGAGGGGAAGGGCAGAGAGGAAAUUUGGGGGCGAGAAAUGAAUUGGGAUUUGUGAAGAAGGAAAGGGUACUUUGGAAAUAGGGGUUGGUGGAGAAAUGAAGCAGCCAUCGCCAUACUCAGACCCUCCUCUUCUUCGUUUUUGUGUUGUGUUUGGCUAGUGGAAUUGUUUCAGUCGAGAAUCUGAUGGAAACGGUAUGAUCUCGCAAAUUUGGCACCAUCUACUUUGUCCAUGGUGUGUGGCUUCGCCCAUGGACCCAUGAUUAAUGAACAAAUGAAGGUGCAUCUUUAAUUUUUUAUAAAUAUUAAAAUAUUAUUUCUUUAUUUUAAAAAAUAAAAACAUUUUUUGAUAAUCAUCACACAAUGAAAAGUAGAAAUAAACAUUUUUUUUAAUAAUUUUCAAUGGAUUUGGAGGAUCUUUCAAUAUUUAUAAACGGUAUAUUAAUUAUGUUAGAAGUUUAUUAAUUUAAAAUUUAAAUAGUAAUUAGCAAAUUUUUUUACUAUUUAAAAUUUAAUUUUUAAGUCCAUAUUUUUUAUGUAAAAAAAUUCCAUUUUAUAUAAAAAUUAUUAAUAUUUUAAAUUUUAAAAAUUAUUUUUAUAAAAUUAAAGAAAAAGCAAAAAUAGGUUCACAAAUAUGACUUUUCAAAUUAUUUUUAUAUUUUAAUUUGAAAAUAAAAAAUUCAGAAGUAACAAUAUAUGCAUCAUAUACACCACUGCUGAAAUGUCUUGAUACCGAAGUGUUAAUAAAAAUGAAAUUGAUGGACAAAGUUUCAAGCCUUCUGCGCAGAAAACAUGAUGAAUGAUCGCUGCACCUUGCUUCUGUAGUUGAUAAGCCCACAUGAUGUGCAUAAGUCUUCAAUCUCCUUCUCAGUCAGAUUGUUGUAGUUUUGCAGACUCCUUUCCCACUGGAAAUAACAAAGGUUUUUAAUACAUCAUUACAGGAGUUGCAAGUCACAAUCUUUAUAACAAGAGGGAAAGAACUGAAUGACAAGAAAGCAUAUUACCUGUCUGAAGGGUCUUAAUAUUGAAGUAAUGGAUGAGUUGCCAAAGCUGGGUCGAAGAAAGGUGGUUCCUACAAAGAUACCACCACUCCGCAGUAUACGAGUGAUUUCAGCAACCUGACAAAGUUGGUUAGUAUCAUCUUUUGCAGUUUGUAUGAAGAAACUACAUGCAGAAACAGAGCAAUUGGAAUGGCACAAAGAAACCUGGAAGAUUGUUUAAAUUUUACGGUUCAGCAGAGGUUUCAGAUGAGAAAGGCACAUUGUGAGGACUGAAAUGCAUAAAUGUUGGGGUGAAUGCUACAAUGGAUCCUACUAGCAAGACCAAAUAACAAACUAACUCUAUGCUAUCUCCAAAUUCUUGCCAACCAUAUAUAAAGGAAUGCAAUGGAGUCAAGCAGCCCAGGCAUUGUGUGGAGACCCUAGACCAACCUUAAGUUUAUUUCACACUUUAUUAUUGUUAUUUUGAAGUUUUGUAUUAUUUACUAUUUAAAUUUUGGUAUAAAUAUAUAGAAAAAAAGUUUUUUAAAAACCACUAAGGAUGGAUUUUGAAUCAUACAAUCUAAUCAUCCCAACAGACUUGAGUUUAACCAAUCAACCCAAGUUUAACUCAACUGACCCAAAUUCAACUUGAGUUUAAAAAAAAUGAGGUUGUGUUGGAUUUCGGUUGAACACCUUCAGUUAGAGGUCAGGUUGGGAUGAGUUGUUGAUUGUUUCUUAAUUUGAGUUACUACAAACCUGACCGACCCACCCAAGUUGCAGCCCUAAUGACAGGCAUAUGAUAUAUACUGAAUAAAUGAUUAUUCAUGUCUGGACUAUUUCAUGCUCACAAUAAAAAUCAAAAGCAAAUUAAAAUGAAGUCAGGAAGUAAUCAAUCAGGCUCAGGAGUAUGGUAGAAGCAAUCUCCUAGGAUAAGGAAGUUCAUGCUCUCCCCAAAUGACUAAAAGAAUAACAUAAAUAUCUCAACGCCUUUUUUUUUAUUUUAAUGUUGAAAAAUGAAUAGAUUCAUUUAAGGCCAUAGAAGACCUUUCAAAAGCUGUAUACCAACUCAAUGAACUGAUUUAAUUUCCAUGAGAAGUAUAAACACCGUCCUCUGAAACUUGUAAAAUGGAAACUGGGAAUGAAACAGCACUUACUGCAUUUGAAGGAGAUGGCCAGCAAUGUAAGGCUGCACCAGCAUGAACAGCAUCAACUGAACCUGUUGAAAAGGGGAGUCUAGAAACGUCUGCCCUAACAAGUGCAAGAUUCCUGCAAGUUAUUCAGUGAAACAUAAAUCAGGAAACCCACACUUUCUUACAAUGGAUAGGUGGCCCCAAAGAAAGUUAAAAGAUAGGACGCCAGAUGAUUUAAGAAAUGUGGCUGCUUCAAUUAAAUUAUCCAAGAGAGGAAGAGAAACUUACGUGGUGGCUAAAGCAGGAUUUUCUUUUUUGAUGAAAUCAUAACAUUGACGAAGCAUAUUUUCAGAAAAAUCAAGUGCAACGACUCCAGAAUAGGUCCCAGAUUCUGCAAAUUUUCGAGAAAAUAAACCACUCCCGCAGCUGACAUCUACCAGAAGACCACCGAUGACAGGUUCAAAGUACUCUUGAGCCAUUUUGAACUGCAUGAAGUCAACAAAGUUGUUAGUUCAUGAAGCAUGACCAGGUCUCAGACUUAGGAAAAGGAUAGCAUACAAGUGGUAGACAGAAAUGACUUCAGAUUAUUUUCCUUGAAGGGCUAACAUGGUGCCAGAUAAAAUUAAUUUUCCAUGACCUGAUAAGAGUCCUGAAAUAAAUAUAUAAAUAAAAUAAUUUCCACAAGAAUCCAGUCUUUUAGAAUAAAGCCCAUGAAGUUCUUCAACUAAUUUAGCACUGCAUUUGGAGCAUAAUGAAAAAAGACAUGACAAGGAAGACUAACCUCUUCAUCACGACCAGGGAAACCACUCUGGUUAAAAUUUUGACGCCAGCCUCUUUCAUACAAGAAUGAAACAAGUGGACUCCUAACAAUGGCAAAACCACCAAAUAUGAGACAUGGACAGUUCCUCAAAUGAUUUUCCAUUGAAAUGAAUUCUUACCGGAAUAGCUCAGUUCUAUUUGGUUGAAGUUCAUUAUAGUCCUUUGAUCCAGCAGUAAUAGUGAGAUCCAGAUACAUGUCUUUGCUGGAGUAUGACUUAUUGCAACUCCUACAUUUGAAACCAGAUCUGUAGAUGGCUGGCCUGCAGAUUAUGCAGCUUUUAAGACAAGCCUUAAACCAGAUCAAUUGUAAGCAAAAAAUAAUUCAGUCUCUAAAAUUCUACCGUGCAUUCCAACUUACAAGUUAAGACCCGGAGGACCUUUUCUUAUUAGAGGUUCAUAACAUACUGGGCAUGAAAACAAGUCAAAUUCCAAACCAUUAUUCAGCUGAGUGCUUGAUUCCUGAAAAUGCAGAUCUUUACUCUUACUAAUUUACUACUAAACAAGAAGAAGAAACCUGAAAAGCAAUUAUAGAAUAAAAUGAUACUUAAUCCUCUGUUCAUAAGAGCUAAAAAUCUUGUUUAACACUGCAAUUCAGAUGUGUUGCAACCUUAGCACAUAACAAAGUUACAAUUACAGUUAAAAAAUGGAUGUUUCGGAUUUUAAACACCUUAAACUACAUAAGAAGGAUCACCAAGAUCAAUGUUGGAAAGUACUUUCAUGGGUUCACAUAGAAACUUCUUCCUGUUUGAACAUAUAUGCUGCAGUGGUAUGUGGAACACAACAUAAUCUGCAGUCCCUUAUCUCAGACAUUUGGCAUCAGCCACAGCAGUUCUGUUCUAUACCCUCCAGUCCAUAAAAAAAUUCUUCAUUUGGAAUAUGAGAUUUUUAAAUGUUUUCAAGUAAGUCCAUAUUAAUCCUUUACUGACAUCAUUCACCAUCUCAGGAGCACAAGAAUUGGGGGAUGAUGUUUAAGUGAUUGCUGUAUACCGACCUAACUUCACCUUAUUGCCUAAUUCCACUAGUUGCGCACCCUACAGGCAUCAAAUCACCCCUAAGGGCAUCAAUGAUUCUAAACAUCGCUGGAAAAUGGUUUUUGAAAUAUAACUUAAAGCCAUUUGUAGGCGAAUGGAAAAUUGAGUUCAAAGUCAUAGGACACCUAUUUUUAGAAAAGACAUUCUUUCUUAAAAGAUGUGUCUAGUAUCUUAAGAUACAACCUUUCCAACUGGUGUGUCUAGUGUCUUAGAGACACAACCAUUCCAAUUGGCACUACCUACAACUACAAAUACCAUGACAUUUCAUUGAUCCCAACAAUCAUCCAUCUCUCUCUCAAUUCCAAAGUAUGGUAUAUAUUCCAUUCCAAGUCACAUGUGAGAUACAAGUGUAUAGUUUUAUAGCAUCCAAGCUUUUGUAGAGUACAACACAUUGUUUGAUUCAUUGUAUUUUGUGAUUUGAAGUGCUACUAUCAUAAGAAAGUGAUGUUGUAUCUUAAGAGACAAUUAUUAUUAAACUGUAAGCACUUGAGCGGGACAAAUUUGUCUUAAGGACAUAGAGUCAAACUCUAGCCUUAGCCAACCUUAUUUGUGAGUUUAAUUUAUGUUUGUUUUGUUUAUUUUAUACAUUUAUUAGACCAUAUAUUUUCAAUUAGUUGCACAACAAUCUUAAGACAAAUUUUUUUAUUGUUUGAUUAUUAUGGCAUGUUGCCUAUGGUGGGAAGCUAGAGAAGCUCAUUGGAAUGGACUUCAAGAGGUGGCAACAAAAAGAAAUGUUGUUCUACCCAACAACGCUAAAUCUUGCUCAAGUCUUAUAUGAGGAUGCCCAAUAUGUUAAAGGGGGUGAAAUAAAUAAGCAAGUGUAGGAAGUUGUGGAAACUUUGAAUCAUUCUAACUUCCUGUGCAAAAAGUACAUCCUCAAUGGUUUGGACAACACAAUAUAUAAUGUGUAUAGUUCAAUAAAUACUACGAAGGAACUAUCGGAGUUCUUAAGGAAGAAAUAUAAUAUAGAGAAUACUAGCUUGAAGAAUUUCAUAGUCACAAGAGUUUAGGAUUUCAAGAUGAUAGAUUCCAAGAUAGUCAUAGUGAAGUCCAAGAGCCACAAUUCAUUCUAUAAGAAAUACAUGUAGAAAAGAUGGUGUUGAGUGAAUUCUUCCAAAUUGUAGCUAUAAUUGAAAAUUUGAAAUCUUCUUGGAAAGAAAUGUAACUCCAUAUAAGUUAGGAAAGGAAAAAGGUUCUCCUAUAGAUACUUGAAAGUGUGGGGACAUUCGGCUAAAAUAGUUGUUUUUAACCUUAAAUCCACCAAUGAUCAUGUAUUCACAAUGAGAGGACGACCCAUAUCAUAAAAGUCCUUAAAAUAAAGGUGAAUUACCAUUUCCACCAUGGGAUCUGAAUUUGUAGUGCUAGAUAAAGUAGGAGAAGUAGAAUGACUUUAUAACUUUUUGCGAGGGCAUAACAUGCUGGUUAAAAACCUAUGUCUAAAAUAAGCAUACAUUGUGAUAAUCAAUUAGCUAUUGAAAGGCCACAAAAUAGCAUAUAUAAUGGUAAUGUUAAAGAUUAUGGGCAGCCAAUUACUUUCAAAUGGAAAUUUCCAUUCAUUAUAUUGAAUCAUAGGAUAACCUUGCAAAUCUACUUACUAAAGGUUUAUCAAAAGAUCAAGUUAACUACUCAUCAAGGGGAAAGGAAUUAAAGCCUAUAACCAAAGAGACUUCACAAUGGUAACCCAACCUAGUUGACUAGAGAUCCCUAAAUCUAGGUUCAAAGAGAUAACUAAGUUAUGAAUGAUUAAGACAAGCACUAUAGAGAUAAUCUCUCAUUCUUAUUCCUAUGAUGAAAUAGUGUUAUUUGCAGCACAAGCUAGGUCAAGCUUUGCUUUUAAUGAACUCUAUAGCUUGAAUAACCAUGUGGAGUAUGGCAGGAUACUCUUAAUAGGAAUCACUUAUUGUUAUGAUAGAGCCCUUUAAAGCAUAACAUGAUGUAACAAAUUUGGAAUUUAUUAUUUAUUUAUUUCCACUAUCCGAGUGUCUAGCUUCAAAAAGGAGUCAUUGGGCAUAAUAUAGGAGGUUUACGAGAUCACUUCCGAUUAUCACACCAUCAAACAACAAUCUUCACCAUAAGGAUUUUAUUUGGGAACAUUCAAAUAUGAGUUAAAUAUUCUAAACCCGUAAUUUAGAUCUUGUAAAGCUUUUGAAUGCUUUGUUUUUGUUAUGCAUAGGAUCUAGUAGCCCUAGGAAUAGUUUCAUGCAUCUAACAAAAUCCAAGGCUUGGGAAUGGAGUAAUCCAAAGUUCUCAUCACCUAUAGGAUCUAGUAGCCCUAAGGAUAGUUUCUACAAGUAAUUUUGAGGCUUCAAUUCUCUAGAACACUCAGGAACACUAGGAGUUGUUCAAGGCCAAACUAAACACAACUGUGAGAAUCAACAAUGUUUGGAAAGAGUUGUUAUCCAUCCUAAUGCAACUUCUUUCCAAAUAGUACUCUCUGAAUUGUCAGCAUGUCACUUGCAAGUUCCUUCAUGUGGGAGAUUAUUGGAAAGUGAUUUUUGAAAAAUAACUUACAACCAUUACAAAUGAAUGAAAAAAUUGAGUUCAAGGUGACAGGACACCUAUUUUCAUAAAAGACAUUCUUUUUUAAAAUAUGCAUUUAGUAUCUUAAGACACAACCUUUCCAAUAGGCGUGUCUAGUGUCUUAGAGACACAACCAUUCCAAUAGGCACUACCCACCAUUAUAAAUAGGGGACUCCCUCCAUGAUAUUUCAUUGGUUCCAACAAUCAUCUAUCUUUCCUUCCUUUCCAAGUCAUUCCCAAGUAUGGUAUUUCAUUCGAACCAAGUGUAGUGUUCCAUUCCAUGCCAUUCCCAAGUGUAGAAUUCCAUUCCAAGUCAAGUGGGAGCUGCAAGUGUGCAAAUUAUAGCAUCCAAGCUUUUGUAGAGAGGACAAUGCAUUGUUUGACUCGUUGUUUUUUGUGCUUUGAAGUGCUACUAUCACAAGAAAGCGGCCAUUGUAUCCUAGGAGACGAUUGCUACUAAAUCAUAAGCACUUAAAUGAGACAAAUUUGUCUUAAGGAUAUAGAAUCAAACUUUAGUCUCAAUCAACCUUAUUCAUGAGUCUAAUUUCUAUUUGCUUUAUUUAUUUUACACACUUAUUAGUCCAUAUAUUUUUAACAAUUUGCACAACAAACAUCACCAAAGAUCCAGCAUUGAACACCAAGGAAGUAUCUUUAAUAUCUUGCAAAUUGUGUACAAAAAUAAAACCAUUCCCUAAGGGCUUCAUCCAAAAAAAUACACACUCAUGCACAUUGCCGAACAUCCAGCAACAAUUUCAACCAGAAAAUCCCUCUAAUUUGUGCAGAAACAAAAAGGUUCUGAACUAAACUUUAAUUGUCAAAAACCCCAGUGCUUGAUCUGUUCUCAAAGGAAAUGUUUUCAUGAAAAAAUUGUUCAUGAAAAAGAAAUCAAUUUCAGGUUGAAAGAAAGGUCUUUUCUGAAAUGAGACGUGACCCAACUUUAAUUGUGAUAUGCCCAUCAACAUUAUAAAUGCUCUGUUUGGUUGAUGAGAAAAGUGCAGGAGAAAAAUAAGAAGUCAAAUUUUAAAUUUUGGGCAUUCCAUUAUCUCAUAGCCAAUAAAACAAAAAUCAUUAUUCAAGUAUAUCUAAUAUAAGGUCGUUUCUUCAUUCACUUAGAAACCAAAAGAAUAAUAAUAAUAAGUUUUCAAAUCCAACAACUUCCCUACGACUAUAAUUAAGCGAAAAUACAAACAAAUAUGGCAGUUUGAUUAUUCAGAAAUUGAUGGAGAAAAACAAAAAUUUGACAUGCUAAACCUUUAGGGAAACACUAAAAUUUAAACAUGUUAAAGCUUUUCUCAGCAACCAAACAAGAAGAGAGGAAAAUACCGGUUCAAGAGCGACUGCUGAGCUAGCACGAAUUCUGGAGGGAAAGCGAAGAGAGGAAAGACGAAGGGGAGGGUGGAAUCGAGAACUGCGAGAAAGAGAAGGAUAUUGUGGGAAUAUGGGUUGGUGAAGGGAGGAAGAAGCCGUCGCCAUGUUCAGACCCUCUUCAACUUCUUCUUCUUCUUUCUUGUUCUGUGUUUGGUUGAUGAUUAUUUCAUUUGAAUCUUAUGGAGGUAGUGGGACAAACGUACAUGUACAUAUCAUCUCAUAAAUUUGGCACUAUUUUAAAGGGGUGAAAAUACCAAGUAUUAUUUGUUUAUUGUGUGGUUUGGCUUCUUAUUACACUCCCUAAGGUUCAUGGACCAUGGCCCAUGGCCCGUGAUAUUGAAUUUUUGGUCCAAAUUGACCCUUUUGUUACUCAAAUAUACAUUUGGGGUACCUCUUAAAACUUGAAAUAAUUGAUCAGAAUUGCCCUUAUUUUUAUGUCUACUUAUUUUGUUUUUUUUUUUUCUCGUUUUGAAUUAGUUUGAAAUUAUAUCUAGAAAAUAUAACGUGUUAUUUGUUUUUUUAAUUUUUUUUAAAUAAUUUGCUUUCAUCAGAUAAUUUAUUUAUUUAUUUUAUCUAUUUAUUACUUAUUUCCUUUUUUUAUUGAAUUGAAAAAAUUAAAACAUUUAAAUUUUUUUAAAAUACUAAAAAUAAAUUAUCAUAACAUAAAUAAACUUGAUUAUUUUCAUUUUUAAUACUUAAUAAAAAUAAAAUAUUAAAAAUAAACAAAUUAAUACUUAAUACUAUUAAAUACUAUUUAAUUUUUAAUUUUAUUUAAAAUUAAGUAAAAAAUAAAACCUCACAUUACUUAUUACAUUUCUUAAUCUAUAAUUUCUAAACUAUAUAGGAGCCUUUUUAAAAUAAGUUUUCAAAUUAAUUUCAAGAAAUCCUAAUAUAACUUAUAUGAUGGCAAAGACUGAAUUUCAAGAUAAAUAUGGUCAAAUAAUAAUUUUGUUACAUUAUUUUUGGAACAAAAAUAAGAAUAACGAGAAAUAGUAUGCCUAAACCAUACUUAAGUGAGAAGUCUAUAACUAUACUUAUCGAACGUCCCAGAUUUUCGAUCAUGGGACACGGCUAGAGAAUCUGUGACAAGCAUUGUAGAUGAUAGACAUGAUGUUCCACACAAUAAAAGCCCAUGGAAGGAUAUGAGGAGUAUAAACACAAGGCCACGAGGCAAAGGAGAUAAAAACUGAAGAAACAGGCCAAAAAAACAAUAUUAACUGUUAUAGGCUUGAGAAAGCACAGAGGCCACUCCCAUGGCUACCAUCAAGCCAUUACUUCCACUUUCUCCUUCCCCUUCCUUGAAGCAUGCCAUUCCCUCUCCCUCUCCAUGGAUUUUCUGCAAACCCACCUUUGAUUCCACGGUUUCUCUUUCCAUGUCACACUUGAAUCGCCUUCCACGACUAGUCGCUGUCUCUGUGGCCUUCAACCCUUCUGGGAAUUUUGACCUCUCUAUAUAUGACGAUGAAGAUGGUAUGAACUUCUUUUCAUUAAUCAUGAAAUAUUUUUAUGGGUCCUCAAUCUCUCUUAUGGGAUUGCUUUGUGAUGCAAUUUUUUGUAGCUGUCUGCUCAUGAAUUUUUCAUUCGCUUAGAACUUGAAUAGAUAAGUACAGCAGAGUAGUUGGAAUUGAGCUGGGCUGAGUUUGGAAAUGAUUCUUGGAUAUUAUCCUAAAAUUUUCCAGAUUGACAAAUUUUGACUGGCAGAUUCAACUAAAGUUUCCCCGCCAAUGCCUCCCACAGAAGGUCGGAUUGAAGUUGUUAUUGAUAAUGAUGUUAUUCGCCGUCUUGACUUGUCCCCAUUCCACACUGCAACUGGAAUUACUUCACCUUCAUCUGGUGAGCAUCAUGUUGAGAAACUGAAGGAGUAAAUGGUUCUUAAAUUAUUGGACCUAGACUGAUUAAAUUUUCCUGGUAAUGUUGUUGUAGCUGAACCAAAGGAGUUUCUUGAACGUACAAUUGGGUUUACCAUUAACUAUACAAGAGAAGAUCCACAUGAUCCUCGAGAACUAUCGGAGUUCCCUGACAUUCGACUCUGGUUUGUGAGGCUUGAUGCUACUUAUCCAUGGCUACCUGUAGUGUUGGAUUGGCGAGCUGGAGAGCUUGCUCGUUAUACAGCCAUGUUGGUUCCUCACCAGGUAUUAAAUGUGUGUGUACGAGGGAGAGAGGGAGAGGGAUAGGGAGAAGUUGAGAUUUAAUGGUCUAAUUUCUAAAAUUUUCUGUUGGCAGAUGAAUAUGAGGAUGGGGGUUGUCUUUAAUCCAGAGGCACUGGAGCUGUUCAUAAUGAAGAAGGUUUUUGUUGUUUACUCUUGGUUGAAGCAACAUAAAAUUCCAAAGCCUAGAUUGAAGACAAGUGACAUGGCCCGGAUGCUUGGUUUUGGGAUUGGAGAUGAAUUGUUCGACUUGAUUGAUCAACACCCACUUGCUCCAUCAUAACCAAGACCUCCAAGAUUUUCAAAUGAAGUCCAUAAUUCAUCACAAAAUGUCACUUCUGUGCCCAAUGGCUGUAAAUCAAUAUUAAGGAGAUGCUGCAAGGAAGCAUCGGAAGUUCAGCAGAGCAUAUAGAUUCCAGUUUGAAAGGUAGAUGUGUUUACUCCAUAUUUUUGUAAUCAAGUUCUGUCCUUACAAACAAAUGCUAGAAUGCUCAUAUCAAAUCUGUUUCAAUCACUUUCUGGCAUGCUCUUGAUUGUUUUUAUUUUAUUUUUUCCAUUGCAGUUGUCUGUCUUAAUAACUUUUACAACCAAAACUAUACAUUUGAUAAGAAACUUUCAAACUGGAACAGCAGAAGGAAGAGGGUGAUUAGGCUUUAAUAUCAGAGAAGUUUCCCUGUUCAAAUAUCAACAUACAGGAUUUGUUCUGUACAUAUUGCCAUACAAAUUCAAGACCCUGGGAAAGAGAAUCCCUAGUAGAUAAAGAAAAAUGAAAUUAGGGGAGAGCUAUAAAUUCCUUACCAGACGUAAAUUCCCUCAUGAGGGAAAGAAAGUUUUGAGUUAGAGUACAUAUUUACAGACUAUGAAUCUGUGGGAGUACAAGCCCUGUUGUAGAUAAACCAGUAGAUUUGCAUAUUGGGCAGAGAUUUUUGCUUCUUAGCCACUGUUGAAUACAAGCACUAUGGAAGCUAUGGUCACAAUCCAGUACUCCCAAUUCAUCGUCUUCCACAUAGUCCUCCUGCCAAAGAGCCAAAAUAACCAUGUCAUCCACUUAUGUUUCCAUUGUGGAAAGAACUGAGAGAAUGACUCUUCCAUUCUUUUUUCUUUGUUUGAGUGAACAAAGAGAAUGGUAGAAGACCUGGCAGAUGCUGCAACAUUCUUUACUAGCAUUCUCUUCUCCAAAUAAAAAGUAUUUAGUAUGUUUGAGGGAUUCCAGAACUUCUUCCUCAGACAAACCAGUAUUGGCAUACCCCAUAUGAUCUUCCAGGGCCAGGAGCUCCUGAUGUAUGCAAAGAGACAGAAAUGUAAACAAACAGUGAGUGAUAAGUACAUAACUUGUAGAAAGUAUGACUGAUAUGAGGUACCUCAUAGGACAUGUUAUCCACAUCAAGCCUCAUGUCUCUGUAACGGUCAUGCAUCUCUGUUGUAUAAAAUAGUGGUAAUUGGCUA
rnacentral:lncRNA from 1 species